CAGUUCGGAUUGUAGUCUGCAACCCGGCUACAUGAAGCUGGAAUCGCUAGUAAUCGCGGAUCAGAAUGCCGCGGUGAAUACGUUCCCGGGUCUUGUACACACCGCCCGUCACACCAUGGGAGUCGGAAAUGCCCGAAGUCUGUGACCCAACCUCAGGGAGGGAGCAGCCGAAGGCAGGUCGGAUGACUGGGGUGAAGUCGUAACAAGGUAGC
rnacentral:rRNA from 1 species